rnacentral:rRNA from 1 species
UACGGAGGGGGCGAGCGUUAUUCGGAUUUACUGGGCGUAAAGGGCGCGCAGGCGGCGCAUUUUGUCAGGCGUGAAAGCCCCGGGCUUAACCUGGGAACUGCGUUUGAUACGGAUGGGCUAGAGUUCGGGAGAGGAGAGUGGAAUUCCCGAGUGUAGAGGUGAAAUUCGUAGAUAUUGGGAAGAACACCGGUGGCGAAGGCGGCUCUCUGGACCGAGACUGACGCUGAGGCGCGAAAGCGUGGGGAGCAAACAGG